rnacentral:lncRNA from 1 species
AAGCGAGGCGGCCGCCUCCCUCGCGCGCCCACACGCUCUCUGGUUUGUCCGGUCUUCGCCGGCGUCCGGCGUCGCACCUGUCACUCCCUCCCUGGUCACUGGAGCGGCUUCGGGAUUUCCCGGACUGCGCUCCGGGCUCGGCUCCCCACGCCCCCGCUCUUUUCGGGAUUGACUGACAGCCGGGUCUCCUGGCGCUCUGGAAAACUUUGGGCAUCAGCUGCAAAAGCAAGUUACUGAUGGAGUGGACAGAGACCGCAGAGUGCGGCGGCCUUGCAUGGAGACCCAGGCGCUCCUUCUGUCGCACUGCAAAGGGAGUUGAGCUGCAAGAAUUUUGAGUUGUGGCCCCUCGGGUACUGACUAGGGAGCGGGUGGCCUUUGUUUCGGCGGCCUUAACAGCGAAGUGGAAGAACUGAGAUGCUACAGUUUGUCAGCAAUCAAGUGGGAGAGUUCUCUGACUUGUUUUCAGAGCAACUAUGUAGCUCCUUCCCUGGAGGUGGUGGCGGCAGUGGCAGUGGUGGCACCAGCAACAACAGCAGUGGCAGAGGCACCAGUGGUGGAGCUGCAGAUCCCGCAGUACAGCGGUCAUUCAGCCAGGUCCCAUUGUCUACCUUCUCUCCCUCAUCCACCUCCCCUCAGGCUCCAGCCCUGCAGGUCAAAGUCUCUCCUACCCCACCAAGGGCAACCCCUGUUCUCCAGCCCCGACCCCAGCCCCAGCCUCAACCUCCAGCUCAGCUGCAGCAGCAGACGGUGAUGAUCACCCCGACCUUCAGCACCGCUCCACAG